rnacentral:RNase_P_RNA from 1 species
UGAGUUGAGGAGAUGGUCGCGUCCCAAAUUUGGGGUGAGGAAAGUCCGGACUCCAUUGGGCAAGGGUGCUGGGUAACCCCCAGGAGCGGCAACGCUAUGGAAAGUGUAAUAGAAAAUAGACUACAACGUAUUACACGUUGUACAGGUGGAAAGGUGUGGUAAAAGCGCACCAGUCCAUAAGGUGACUUAUGGAGCUAUCAAACCCCGCCUGGAGCAAGGUAAAACAGGGAUAUUUAGAGGCAUGCCCGCCUCGUCCCGGGUAACCGCUUGAGGUCAAAUGGUAACAUUGAUCCCAGAUGAAUGACCAUCAAAUACAGAAUCCGGCUUAUUCUUGGCUCAAGCA